GUCCGAAUGGUCUAGUGGUCAUGACGAUUGUCUUACAUCAAGUAUCACAAUAAAUCGCAGGUUCGAACCCUGCUUCGGACA
rnacentral:tRNA from 1 species